rnacentral:rRNA from 1 species
UACAGAGGGUGCGAGCGUUGUCCGGAAUCACUGGGCGUAAAGCGCGCGUAGGCGGCUUUGUAAGUUAGAGGUGAAAGCCCGGAGCUCAACUCCGGAACUGCCUUUAAGACUGCAUCGCUAGAAUCAUGGAGAGGUGAGUGGAAUUCCGAGUGUAGAGGUGAAAUUCGUAGAUAUUCGGAAGAACACCAGUGGCGAAGGCGGCUCACUGGACGACUGUUGACGCUGAGGUGCGAAAGCGUGGGGAGCAAACAGG